rnacentral:rRNA from 1 species
AAGCGGAGGAAAAGAAGCUAACAAGGAUUCCCUUAGUAACUGCGAGUGAAGCGGGAAAAAGCUCAAAUUUAAAAUCUGGCGGUCUUCGGCCGUCCGAGUUGUAGUCUGGAGAAGUGCUUUCCGCGCUGGACCGUGUACAAGUCUCCUGGAAUGGAGCGUCGUAGAGGGUGAGAAUCCCGUCUUUGACACGGACUACCAGUGCUCUGUGAUGCGCUCUCAAAGAGUCGAGUUGUUUGGGAAUGCAGCUCAAAAUGGGUGGUGAAUUCCAUCUAAAGCUAAAUAUUGGCGAGAGACCGAUAGCGAACAAGUACCGUGAGGGAAAGAUGAAAAGCACUUUGGAAAGAGAGUUAAACAGUACGUGAAAUUGUUGAAAGGGAAACGCUUGAAGUCAGUCGCGUCUGCCAGAACUCAGCCUUGCAAUCUUGCCUGGUGUACUUUCUGGUGGACGGGCCAGCAUCAAUUUUGACUGCCGGACAAGGGCUGGGGGAAUGUGGCACCUUCGGGUGUGUUAUAGCCCCUGGUCGCAUACGGUGGUUGGGAUUGAGGAAUUCAGCAUGCCUUUAUGGUCGGGGUUCGCCCACGUUCAUGCUUAG